rnacentral:sRNA from 1 species
GAAAGUCUUUUUUUUUUUAUACCUAAUAAUCCUAGAACAGGUAUGAAUUAUUGGGGUUUGUGUUUUGCAGUUAAAGGCAUGUUUGGAUUUGGGUUUGGGUUUUGCGAAUGAAUGAAUAAACAUUUGUAGAAUCCGAAAUUUGAUUAGGAAAAUUGAAACAGAGCCCUCCGAAAACCCCAAAACCCUAUCUGGCUUUGAGUUUUGUUGUGGCCAUGGAUUUUCAAGUGGUUCUCGGCGGUGGCGUCUCCAAGAAGUUCUUUCCCCUCAUUUCCUAGGUUUCCAAACGGAAAUGCUUAUUACCAAACAAUUUUCGACGCUACUAUGUUAUAUAAAAAGUGCUUAUUUCUGACUGUAGGAGCUUCCAAACUCAUUGUUUCUGGUGGCAAAUCGCCUCGUUAUCUCUUACGUUCUUAGACGUCAUUGGAAAGGGUAAAUAGUGAAAUUGGUGAGGAAAUUUAACUGGAGGUGGUUGAAGGCGAAGAAACUGCUCUUCGUGUCGGGGCUUGGAUUUCAGGGGCUUAUGCUUAUCGCCUCCAUGUUGAGGUUGCUUCAGUUCCUGUACAGCAACUGCAAUUCGAACUAUUUCUCAUCACCUAACUACUAAAGACAUUUUGGUGGAAUAUCCCUCCCUCCCUUGCCUGUGAACUCUGUUGAUUUUCUGCAAGUUGUCAAUGGUGAUCUUAUUACGGAUAUGCCACUAUAUAUAUAUAUAUAUAUAACAAUUAUUAAAUGUGUUAGGGUCAUUAUAUUUUAUUAGCCAAUUUUAUAAAGUGAUAUAAUUAAGAUAAAUAUGACUAAAGGUAUAUUUGUCAUGAAAUGUAUAUUGUGUAGAGACCAUCAAUAAUUUUAAUUUGUUGAAGAGGUCAAAUUAUAAUUAUUGAAAUUAAUGAAUAUUAACCGUCAGAAGUUAUUUAAACGGUCAUAGUCCCCAUCUGUGAGCACAUCGUACCAUUCCUGUUUCUUUCUUUUUAUCCCCGUCAGAAGAGAAAAUCCAGAGGUAACUAAAGGUGCUCUACAAAGAGAAGAUCAGAUACCAACUCAGGUUAUUUUAUCGUUGUUCUCAAUAUCUAAUUCAAGUACACUUCCACUUUAUUAUUCUAAGGUAUUGGGAUUUGUUUUGAUUAAAGGGUUUAUUGCUCAUUAAUUAUUAUCUGUCAAUCACAAAUUCUAACAAGCACGUGAUAGGCUAUAAAGUGUAGGUAGGUGUUGAAAAAGGGGUAGAGAUGGAAAGCUGGGUUAGUCGUGUGUGAAACCAGCUCUGGGGAUAGGGGCUUUCUCUAGCAUGUGAUCAUUAUGUGUUUCAAAAUGAUGAUAAAGUUUAUGGGCAAGGGAGAAUAUUGUUGUUUAAUAGGUUUUUAUGUGAAAACAAAUUAGCUUUUGAACUAUGGGCCUUAGGGGUGCCAAAUGGUUAGUAGUAUAGCUAAACUGUCUAAGUGAGAAUAAAUUGUGUUGUUGAGAGUGAACAACAGGUAAUGAAGAAAGUGGCUUUUGGAACGGCUGUAAGGUUCAGGGUAGUUAACGUGAGAAUUGGAAGCAUUUCGAAAUUGACUUUGGAGUGGAGCUUUGGUUUCACGUAAAGGUAGCUUAAGUCGUGGAAAAAUAUGACUUUUAAUGGUUGUGAGACCCGUAUGUGUGAAGGAGUGCAUAGAAGGGUAUAUGGUGCUACGUAAAAAUGAGGAGGAAAAAGUGUAAGGCCAUGGUGUUGAUGUGGAUAUUGGUGGAGAAAGAUGGGUCCACUUGGGAGGUGAUAUUUUCAUGGUAUAUAAAAUGAAACAUGACUUACAUAAAUGAAGAAAUUGAGUGCAAAAAAUGGGUCCAGUUGAAAAAGGUGAUGUUUAAUAGUGUUAUUUGUUGUAAUUAGAAAUUGACUAUUGUAUGAUUUUUUGGUUGAUUUUAUAUUUUGAUAUUUGUUUAAUUAUUGUCUUGUGAUUUCUACUAUGUGAGGGACGAUGAUUUUAAUUGGGUAAGGAGACAACAUGUUUUGUGUGUGAGGUUACCAAUAGGUGAGUUUGUCGUUUGGUGGUAGGCAUAUGAGUAUAUGACAGGUUGUUAUGUGGUCGUCCGGUGUACCUAGUUGUACCCAGUAAUUCCAAAUAUGACUCUUUCGGUCGUGCAAUCUGGGAAAAAGAUUCUCUUUAGCUAUGUGAGGUGGGAAGAAGAUGAGCUCGAGUUCUGAUGACUUUUUCGGCUGUGCGAUGAGGGAAAACAUUCUCUUUGGUCGUUCAAUGCGGGAAGAGGAUGGGUUCGAGUGUCGAUGACUUUUUUAGCCAUGCGAUGCAGGAAAGAAGUUCUCUUCGACCACGUGAUGCUGGAAGAGGGUGUUGAAUGACUCAAACUGAAUUGGUUAUGAUGAACAGGUGGUAUUUAGGGUACGAGGAGAUAAACUGUUGGUUGUGUUAACGUUGAGUAGUCCUGUAUGAGUUACUAGUAGUGGUAUAAUGUUAAUAUUGUGAUGACUAUUUAGCACUUGUGAGUUCUAUUAUUUUGCUUAUGUUUGACUCUCUGUUAGUUCAUCCAUGUGUGUGUUUGUUGUGUUUAUGCGAUGGUCGUAUAACUCAUGUUGCUAUAUGAGAGCAGAUAAUAAUGUAGAUAACUUGGAUGUAGUAUAACACGACAAAUUGAUUGAGAGUUGGGG